UAAAAUGAUGGGCCUAAAUUUAUUGCUAUUCCUUUCAUAAUGUUCCCUGUGGAAAAGGAUGGCACUAGAUUUAGAUGUCAAUUUAGUUUUGAGACUGUAUCGCUUUCCCCUUCUGGGGUCAGUUUCACCCCUUUUAAUACCUUACCUAGGU